UACGUAGGUGGCAAGCGUUGUCCGGAAUUAUUGGGCGUAAAGCGCGCGCAGGCGGUCUCUUAAGUCUGAUGUGAAAGCCCACGGCUCAACCGUGGAGGGUCAUUGGAAACUGGGGGGACUUGAGUGCAGAAGAGGAAAGCGGAAUUCCACGUGUAGCGGUGAAAUGCGUAGAGAUGUGGAGGAACACCAGUGGCGAAGGCGGCUUUCUGGUCUGUAACUGACGCUGAGGCGCGAAAGCGUGGGGGAGCAAACAGG
rnacentral:rRNA from 1 species